AGUGAACGCUGGCGGUAGGCCUAACACAUGCAAGUCGAACGGCAGCACAGUAAGAGCUUGCUCUUACGGGUGGCGAGUGGCGGACGGGUGAGGAAUACAUCGGAAUCUACUUUUUCGUGGGGGAUAACGUAGGGAAACUUACGCUAAUACCGCAUACGACCUACGGGUGAAAGCAGGGGAUCUUCGGACCUUGCGCGAUUGAAUGAGCCGAUGUCGGAUUAGCUAGUUGGCGGGGUAAAGGCCCACCAAGGCGACGAUCCGUAGCUGGUCUGAGGGGAUGAUCAGCCACACUGGAACUGAGACACGGUCCAGACUCCUACGGGAGGCAGCAGUGGGGAAUAUUAGACAAUGGGCGCAAGCCUGAUCCAGCCAUACCGCGUGGGUGAAGAAGGCCUUCGGGUUGUAAAGCCCUUUUGUUGGGAAAGAAAAGCAGCAGGUUAAUACCCCGCUGUUCUGACGGUACCCAAAGAAUAAGCACCGGCUAACUUCGUG
rnacentral:rRNA from 1 species